rnacentral:siRNA from 1 species
UAAUUCUUUCUUGUUAGCGCUCUC